UUAGGGCACUGCAGUUCUGUACCUACAGGUGGGAGGCAAAGUGUUUAUUAGGGUCACCACUAAAAAUACUGUGUACAUAUGCACACGAGUAACACAUUGCUGUCCUAUGGGUGCUUUUUCAUAAAUAGCUCAUUUCAUCAUCGAGGCUGGACACAUGUAGUCAGUGUUCUUGGAGUUCUUGGAGUAAGGACCUCUUCCACCGUCCUUCCAAAGCACACAGGAUCAGCCACCCUGCUGGAAGAUCUGAACAAGGGAUGUGCACAGCUCCUUACUGGAGUCAUGGACUCUCCUGGGGUUCAGCAUCAUGCUGGACUUGAACCAUGGCCUACAGCAAAAUGAAGAGCAGGAUCUCCUGUGAUUACAGCCCAACUCCUGCUUCCAUGGCAGAGCAGGACUCCAUAUUUCUAAAGAGGGGAGGAAUGUAUUUCUGGAAUACUUGUGCUAAAAAUACACCUAUCUCUGCUGUCUAUGAAGAGAGGCAGGUAUAGCCCUGCUUUCUGUAAGCCCUGAACUUGUGAACUGCUGAGAGGCUGAAUCACAACUAGGAAGAUCCCUGUGGAAAUGGUAACUGCUAAUGCAGGAAGGUUGGCUGAUUGCUUGGAAAAUCCAAAACAGGCCUCUCACGUGAAAGCAACUGGGGUUAACAUUAUUCAUCAGGAUAAAUGUAGUUCACAGACUCCAGCUUUGAAAGGGCUCAAAUCUUGGGAUAGGCAUAAAACUUGUUCAAAAACUGUGACAAUAAAUAUUUGCUAAUUCAGUGUUCAGAUGAGACUCUGGGAUCAGAUGGCCUGCCAUUAAAAUAAAAGCACUUCUGGGGAAAAUUACUGAGUAACACACAGGAAACACAACCCAGUGGCACUUAGAUGUUGUUAUCCUGCUCCCAGGAAAUUUAAAAAGCAAAAAUUCCUGCUGCUUUCUUUCAGUGAGUGUCGAGAAAUAACAGAUCACACUGGACCUUUUUAGACAGAAAUUUGGAUUGAAAUUUUAAACUUGUAUGAAAACAGUAUGCAAUUUGCACGAGUACGUCAAUGGAAAAUGCCUGUAUGUUUGCAUGCAUAAUGAACUCCAUCUUUCACACACACACUUGAAACUUCAUAUGCUUGGCAAUGCUGAGAAUUCUGACAAGAGAGCCUUACGCAAGAGCAGUUGCUUUCAGCCUUUUCUGAUUUGUAUCCUAUCCCAACACUCUCUCCAGGGAAAUAAAUGGAAUUCUGCCCUACUGACAGAAACAGUUUUUUUUUUCCUUUGUUACCUUAGCUGCAAAUCCCAGAGAAGCAAUAUGCAGACCCCGAGGGGUCAAUGCACCAAUCACAUGCAAAAAGUCCCUGGUACAUGGAAACCAAAAAGUGGAACUGAUUAUAAACAGACAUGAAACCAUCACCCUGGACUAGGAAAACUCAAGCACCAAACUGUUUUGGUUGCAGAAAUUAAAUGUUUUAUAAUUCUCAAGGCAUUAACAAGCAAGGGGUCUAUUUAGGAACCCAUGAGAGCAAUAGGACUAUAUUGAAUUUUCAGUUGUUUGCUUACAGCACUUUUUGUUCAGCAGAGCAACACAGGUUCAGUUCUUACCUGGCAGCCACAGAUUGAAUGAUUUGUUGACUAUUAUCACAGGGAGUGGAAUAAUGUGAUCUUUGGGCACUGGACAAGGUGUGUAGGUAAGUGAAGAACAUUAGCUGGACAGAGCAGCCUCUGGGUCAUACAAAAGCAGUGAAGCAGGGAAUUGUUCAGGUAUUUUCUGUCCCAAAGGGGAACAAGAUCAAGGGUGCAUUUUCUUGCCAGCACCUCCUUCUAUAUGCUGCACACAGUAUCAGGGGAAAUGGGUCAUAUUUCUCUCUGUCUGUGUGCAGCCCCUUACACAUCCUGGUCUGAACCAGAUUCUGUCCUGACAAACCCAGCUGAGAAGAGGUAUGUGAGCACAUAAAGGUCCCCAGUACCUGAGAACCGUUAGCAGUCCUAUGGUCUCUUUCCUUGGGGACAUUUCUCCACCCCUCUGGAAGAGCUG